rnacentral:rRNA from 1 species
GCCCUACGACACUUUUGUAAGGUGAAGCCUGCCCAAUGGCUGCCAAUAAUUUAUAAAAUCAGUUCAAUGGCCGCGGUAACUCUGACCGUGAUAAAGUAGCAUAAUCAUUUGUCACUUAAUUGGUGACUGGAAUGAAUGGCUAAACGAAUCCUACCCUGUCUCUGUUGGAAUUCCGGCAAAUUUGAAAUAGUAGUGAAGAUGCUACUUAAUAAUUGUAAGACGAAAAGACCCUAUCGAGCUUUACUGGAAACUUGUAUAUAAACACAACCACCUAUGACAAGGUUCUUUAGAUUGCAAGAUCGACAGUUUGGUUGGGGCGACCACCCCUAAAAAUGUAUCAGGGGAAUUCUAAAGGUUAUUAUGACAUGAAAAGUAACCUUACUGGAGACAGACAAGUCAAUCAGUUAUAACAAAUAGGACAUACUGACCCGUUAUCUUUUUCAGAAAAAAUAACGACUAUGAAAAAAGUUACCGUAGGGAUAACAGGGUAAUAUUUUCAAAGAGUUCAUAUCGAUGAAAAUGUUUGCCACCUCGAUGUUGAAUUGUGAUAUCCUAAGGGUGCAGCAGCUCUUAAGGGUUG